rnacentral:rRNA from 1 species
UACGUAGGGGGCAAGCGUUGUCCGGAAUCAUUGGGCGUAAAGAGCGUGUAGGCGGCCCGGUAAGUCCGCCGUGAAAGUCCAGGGCUCAACCCUGGAAUGCCGGUGGAAACUGCCGGGCUGGAGUCCGGAAGAGGCGAGUGGAAUUCCUGGUGUAGCGGUGAAAUGCGUAGAUAUCAGGAGGAACACCAAUGGCGAAGGCAGCUCGCUGGGACGGUACUGACGCUGAGACGCGAAAGCGUGGGGAGCAAACAGG